ensembl:misc_RNA Y_RNA Y RNA
GGCUGGUCCAAUGGCAGUGGGUUUUCAGGACUUAUUAACAUUAGUGUCACUAAAGUUGGUAUACCACCCCCCCCCACUGCUAAAUUUGACUGGCUUUAA